UCUCUCUCCGGUAAGGGUGACACGGGGAGUCUUGACGCCCUGCCCACCUGACUUACAAGACAAAGGGACUAACUUGUUUUUACCGCGUCUUAUUAUCUAAUUAGGAGAGAGAGAGAGAGAGAGAGAGAGAGAGAGAGAGAGAGAGAGAGAGAGAGAGAGAGAGAGAGAGAGCGUGGAUGAAUGUGCGUGUGCUUGUGUGUGUGUGUGUGUGUGUGUGAUCAUUAACCUGGUAACCUUGGCCGCCUCUUGAUAAUAAGGACGACAUCUCAGGUGGUGGUGAUAUUUUUAUGGUGGUGACUGUGUGGUGAUGAUGGUGAUUAGGUGACUGUGGUGGCGGUGGUGGUGGUGGUGUACUGGUGGUGUGAGUAUGAUCGUUGGUGUGUGGUAAAUUGGGUUCUUUCCUUAUUCUUGGUGGAGGUGAUGAUGGUGGUGGUGGUGAUAGUGUCUUAAGUAAUGGUUAUGGUGAUGCUGAUGGUGUGGUGGUGAUGAUGGUGUGGGUGUAUGAUAAUGAUGGUGGUGGUGGGAGGUGAUGGUGAUGUGGGAUGUAUGAGAAUUAGGGUGGUGAUGGUGAUGGUGGUAAUGGUGGUAGUGAUGUGGUUGUGGUGGGGGAUGUGAACUCUAACCCAAUCGUGAGUCACGCCACCCUGGGCACCUACCUGACCUCCUCCUCCUCCUCCUCCUCCUCCUCCUCCUUCCUCAACGACUCGACCCCAUCCUCCUCGUCGGCAGAUCUGUACUCAUAUCAUUCCCUUCCUUCAUCUCCCAUAAUCCACCUCCCUCCUCUUCCCUACUUGUAUCUCCUUCUCUUCUCCCCUCUUUCCUUCCCUCUUCCCUCCUUGAAUCGCACUCUCUCCUCCCACCUUUCCCUAACCUUCACCUUCCCUUCCUUCCCUCUCCUCCCGUCUCUUCCCUUCCUUCCCUCUCCCUCUGAGCAUUUGUUUAUGAUAUGGAGCACACUCUUGUCUCAUCUCCGGCUUAGAGAGAGAGAGAGAGAGAGAGAGAGAGAGAGAGAGAGAGAGAGAGAGAGAGAGAGAGAGAGAGAGAGAGAGAGAGAGAGAGAGAGAGAGAGAGAUCAGUAUAUGCCUUUAUUAUUAACAUUGUAUUGAAGGAAGCCGUGGGUGAAAUCGUGCAAAAGUAAGCGUGAAAGUAAUUGUUCGCUAAAAAAAAGUAUUCAAAUAUUCACGGAGAAGAAUUCGAAUGGAGCUACAGUUUAAAAAUUAAGGAAAAUUGAAAAAGAUAUUGGCGCUGAGCUUAUAAGGAAAACUGAAAAAAAGGUAUUGGUGCAGAGCUUAUACAGUAUUCUUGAUUCAUAACACACACACACACACACACACACACACACACACACACACACUCGCAUUGGCAGCUCUACAGUCAGGCCAGCAACGUUGCCAGCUCUAAACUUGCGCCGGUGACAAGGCUAGCGUUAAAUAAUGAAGAUAUAAACACGUUGGAGGCUCUGAGAUACGUUUGGCAGAGCUGCGUGGAAAUGGCGAGGCGUGAUUGGUCAGCGUCUGUGUUUGUGUUUCCUUAGACUUUUUUUUCCUCCUUUUCCCCUUAAGUGCCCUCUCUUGAUUGGCUGGCCUUUGCUGUUUUUGUUAUUGUUUCUCGCGGCUUGACUGACUGACUGACUGCCUGGCCUCCGCUGCUGCUCCUCGCGUUGAUUGGCUCAGGCCUUGUUUACUCGGGGUUGUUAUUGCCUAAGUGUUUUGUCGGUGGGUCUGUGAGCGGCUUGUCAACGAGCGUCUCUUUGGGUCUGAUUGGUGUAAUUUCCCUGAUUGCCGUCUUACUUUUCCUCAUUUCCUCUCUCCUAUCUUCCCCACUCUCCCUCAUUCGCGUCCCCUUCUUUUCCCCCUUCUUCUCCCUCCUGGCCUCUUUCCUUUCCCCUCCUCUCCUCUAUCUCUUUUGUUCCUCACUAGUUUCCUUCAUUCUUUCCGCCACCUCCCUCCUUUCUCUCUCCCCGGCCCCUUUCCUUUCCUCCUCUCCUAUCUCCCUGGCCAGUCCCGUCCCUCCUCGUAUCUCUCCUCCCUUCCCUUCAUUUCCUCCCCUUCGGUAUCGUGACUAGAGACUAUCAGAUCCUAAAUAGCGGAAGCUCUCUUAAGACGAUUGGAUCUGAUGUGGUGAUCACGGCAGCCCGCGGCGUGCCUGUCGGUCUGCGGUCACCAGAAGGACUCGAUAAAGUUUUAUAGAUCGACUUGGAGGCAGGAGGCGGCGAGGUGUGGCGCGGCCUGGCCAGGUUAAUGACGGAGAUCGGCUGUGUAUUGUUGGCUUAUUGACCAUUUUGCUAAUUUAUGUAUGUAUGAGUUAGGGUCAUGGUUUGUUUAUGAUCACCUUUGUUGUUUGAGCUGCUCGAGUGGCUGGUGAAGUCAGUUUGGGUCCUACGAGUGGCUUUAAUCGAUCAGCCGGAAGUUUGAACGGGAUUGGCAUUUAGCUUGGUUAUGUGUGGCUGGCUUUAUUGGCUGAGCUGUGUCUGGAUGUGAAUGGAAAAUAAUUUGGUAAGGUAUGGUUGGUUAUGUUUUGGUUUGAGCUGCUCGAGUGACCGGUGGAUGUCAGUUUGGGUACUGCGAGUGGCUUUGGUCGAUCAGCCGGAAGUUUGACCGACAUUGGCAUUUAGCUUGGUUAUGUGUGACUGGCUUUAUUGGCUGAGCUGUGUCUGGAUGUGAAUGGAAAAUAACUUAGCAAGGAAUGGCUGGCUAUGAUAGUUACGAUGUUUUUUUUUAGUUGUGAAUGGCCUAUAGCAUGAUUGUGUAUAGAUGUCUGUCUUGAACGAGCUGGUAUUUAUAUUAUUCUACUUUACUCUAGAAGAAACAGUUCAAGGGCAAAAACACAAAAAAAGAAAACAAAAUAGUCCGCUCAGCGCUGUUCCUGUAAAAGCAAAGAGAAAAGUGCGGCUAAAAAAAGAGAUCAAUUUCGAAUGCAUGUUAGACUGAAUGACAACUACUUCGGCUGUGUAUUGCUUUGGUGUGGUGUGUGGUGCGGUGGUUGGGGUGACAUUCUGGCUGCUCUGGCUAGCGAGUGUCGGCAAUGCGUAGAGGGAUUAUAAAACCAUUGGCCGGCACGUGGAAACAGCCAGGCAUGAGUGGAACUUGAACAUGUGUUUCGUGAUCGCGGCCCCAAACAUUAGUCGCUCGAUGAUCCCUCCCUUCGGCAUGGAUUGACCCGGCCGGACCUGCGUGCAUUGACUCUCCUCUGCUGUUUUGGACGUACUUUUGUGCUGUGUUGUUCUCUGGUGGUCCUGCCGUGCUGAAUUUUGAGUGCAUUGGGCUGGUCUGGUUUGGUGUUGUUGUUUUAAGGUGUGUUGGCUUGAGUAUGUUGUUUUGGACGUAAUGUUGUGUUGUGCUGCUCUCGAGUGGUUAGACCGUAUUGAAUUUUGAGAGUAUUGGGCUGGUCUAGUUAUGUUGGCCUGGAUGCGUCUGUCUGUUCAUAGUGUUGCUAGUGUUGUUUUAAGGGCUUUUGGCUUGGUUAUGUUGUUUUGGGUGUACUGUUGUGCUGCGUUGGUCUGGUUGUACUGCAUUGUUAGUGUGUUGGUCGGGAUGGUUUGAUCUGUUCAUACUGUUGGUAGUGUUGUAUUUUAAAGUAUUUUGGGUUUGAUUGUGUUGUUUUGGGUGUACGGGUGUGUUGUGUUGCUCUGCGGGGGUUUGGUUGUGUUGCAUUUGGGGUGUUGUUGAGUUGCUUUAGUUCGUUAAUUCUUUUUUUUUCCAGGUGAAGGCUUCUACGUGUGUUGGUUUCAUUGUGCUGGUUUGGAAGUGUUUGUGCAGGUUUGGAAGUGUCUGUGCAGGUUUGGAAGUGUUUGGAUGUGUUAGUGCAGGGUUGGAAGUGUUUGGAUGUGUUAGUGCAGGGUUGGAUGUGUUUGGAUGUGUUAGUGCAGGGUUGGAAGUGUUUGGAUGUGUUAGUGCAGGGUUGGAUGUGGUUGGAUGUGUUAGUGCAGGGUUGGAUGUGUUUGGAUGUGUUAGUGCAGGGUUGGAUGUGUUUGGAUGUGUUAGUGCAGGGUUGGGUGUGUUUGGAUGUGUUAGUGCAGGGUUGGAUGUGUUUGGAUGUGUUAGUGCAGGGUUGGAUGUGUUUGGAUGUGUUAGUGCAGGGUUGGGUGUGUUUGGAUGUGUUAGUGCAGGGUUGGAUGUGUUUGGAUGUGUGCAGGGUUGGGUGUGUUUGGAUGUGUUAGUGCAGGGUUGGAUGUGUUUGGAUGUGUUAGUGCAGGGUUGGAUGUGUUUGGAUGUGUUAGUGCAGGGUUGGGUGUGUUUGGAUGUGUUAGUGCAGGGUUGGAUGUGUUUGGAAGUGUUAGUGCAGGGUUGGAUGUGUUUGGAUGUGUUAGUGCAGGGUUGGAUGUGUUUGGAUGUGUUAGUGCAGGGUUGGAUGUGUUUGGAUGUGUUAGUGCAGGGUUGGAUGUGUUUGGAUGUGUUAGUGCAGGGUUGGAUGUAUUAGCUAUUCUUGUUUGCUUGCAGUAGUUUAUUAUUUAGGGGUGGAGGGUGGACCUGCAUUUGUGUUUCCUGGUCUCGUUAUUUGUUUGCCUAAGUAUGAUUGUGUGUGUCACUGUCUGGGUUGGUUCGGCGUCCUAAGUUGUUUGUAUUCACAUGCCUCUUUAGAUUAAUGCAAUGGUUGGCAGUGUUUUUGUUGUUGAUGGUGAUGAAACGAAAUACCACUACUACUACUACUACUACUACUACUACUACUACUACUACUACUACUACUACUACUACUACUACUACUACUACUACUACUACUACUACUACUACUACUACUACUGUUACUACUACUACUACUACUACUACUACUACUACUACUACUACUACUACUACUACUACUACUACUACUACUACUACUACUACUACUACUACUAUUACUACUACUACAAUGCUACAAUCUCAGACGCAUGAAUUAUUGGUGAAGGUAAACAGAAAAGCAAACAACACUCACAUUAAUGAGAAUGGGAGACAGGGUGACAGGGCAGGGCAGGGCGGGGCAGUGGAUAAGUGUGUGGCGUGAUCCAUUAUCCAUCAACCUGUUUGCGGCGUCCAAGUGGCCCCCAUCACCACCACCACCACCACCACCAUCACCAUCACCUUCAGCACCAGCGCCGCCGAACAGCAUUGAUCCCGUGGUGGCAGCAGCAGCAGCAGCAGCCGUCCGCGUGACACCCUGGCGCCAGACAAAAGAAAAUGUCUUUCACAAACUUGUACAAUUUUCUUUGCGAGGCGAUGCUAUUGAUUGCGCAUAGUUCACGUGUUUAUGUAUUUGUCCGGUGGAUGAUUUGUUUUAAUGUGUGUGUGUGUGUGUGUGUGUGUGUGUGUGUGUGUGUGUGUUUUGUUUUAGUUUAUGGGAACCCCGGUGGAAUCAGCUGUGUGUGUGUGUGUGUGUGUGUGUGUGUGUGUGUGUGUGUGUGUGUGUGCGUGCUUAUUUUUAGUGAAUUGCUUUCUGAGUUUUGAUAUCAGGUAUGCAUUAAAUUAGUCCAGCUUUUGACGCGCGUGAAUUGCAGUCAGUCUCGUGUUGAUUUGGCAGUUCUUUCCAACACUCGCCUUUAUCUAAUUUAUUUGUUUUUGCUGGCGUCGAAAUCAGCUCUUGCGACACCGAGGCACGUGGAGCAUGUGGAGGGCUAGUAUUUUUGACGCCCCCUCAGAUUUACGACCCAAGGUACUUCUGCAGCCAUCCUAUACUUGAGCGGUUUGCAGAAAUACACCAAACCGGGGAAGGCAGAAGGGUGGAAAGUCUAUCAACGGGGAAGCCAGCGUGAAAUGAAGCCCAACAGUAUGGAAGGGAAUGUGGAAACUGCUGACGGGAAGGAAAACAUAUAACGGAAGGAAACUAGCAACACCAUUGACGAGGGAAGGAAAAGUGUUAAGUUGAAGCGGAAAGAAGUCAAUACAAGCCAGUGCAGCAGAAAAGGAAGCAGCGCGAUAUAGAAGUGAAGGAAAAGUAUGAGAAACGGCAGGAAACUAGAAACACCAUUGACGAGGGAAGAAAGAAUGUUGAGUCCAAUCUAAAGUACUGUAAUUCAAGUCAUUUUAGCAGAAUAGGAAGCAGAACGAUAUAGAAGUGAAGGAAAGGUAUGAGAAACGGCAGGAAACUAGAAACACCAUUGACGAGGGAAGGAAGAAUGUUAAGUCGAGGCGAAAAGAGGUGAAUAGAAGCUUGUGUUGUCGAUAAGGAAGCAGAAUGAUCUAGAGGUGAAGGAAAGGUAUGAAAAACGGAAGGAGAGUUAACACUAUUGCCAAGGGAAGGAAGAAUGUUGAGUCCAAUCGAAAAUACAGUAAUUCAAGUCAGUUUAGCCGAAAAGGAAGCAGAACGAUAUAGAAGUGGAGGAAAGAUAUGAAGAAAGGUCGUGAAAUAUCAGUGUAACGGAAGAAAAAUUAAAGGAUAUUAGUAACACCAUUGACAAGGGAAGGAAGAAUGUUAAGAGCAAACGAGAAGAAGUGAAUAAAAAACCAGUGAAGAAAGGUCGUGAAAUAUCAGUGUAACGGAAGAAAAAUUAAAGGAAACUAUGUAGUAACACCAUUGACAAGAGAAGGAACAAUGUUAAGCGCAAACGAAGAGAAGUGAAUAAAAACCAGUGCAGCAUAAAAGGAAGCAGAACGAUAUAGAAGUGAAGGAAAGAUAUGAAAAAAUGUCUUGAAAUAUCAGUGUAACGGAAGAAAAAUUAAAGGAAACUAGUAACACCAUUGACAAGAGAAGGAAGAAUAUUAAGAGCAAACGAAAAGAAGUGAAUAAAAAACCAGUGCAGCAUAAAAGGCAACAGAACGAUAUAGAAGUGAAGGAAAGAUAUGAAAAAAUGUCUUGAAAUAUCAGUGUAACGGAAGAAAAAUUAAAGGAAACUAGCAACACCAUUGACAAAGGAAGGAAGAAUAUUAAGCGCAAACGAAGAGAAGUGAAUAAAAACCAGUGCAGCAUAAAAGGAAGCAGAACGAUAUAGAAAUGAAGGAAAUGUAUGAAGAAAAAAAAAUGUGAACGAUCAAUGUAAUGGAAGAACAGGCAAACGAAAGGUGUAGAAAUCUUAUUCGAGGGAGGCAAGACGGAGAAAAGAAAGAAGCGAAGAAAAGGUAAGGAACAGAAAAAAAGCAAAAAGAGGAACAAUAAGGAAACUGUCGACGGUCUCAUGGAUAAAACAAACAAACAAAAAAAUACAAAACUGAAUGCCAAUGAAACAGAAAGGAAGCGAAAUGAUAAAGAGUGAGGAGGAUAAAAGGAAAAUGUCGACACAGAAACCAACGCUGCGGAAGACAACAGGCAACAAAAAAGUAAAUGAGCUAACUGAACUAAACUUGACUGACUAGAACGACGAGUCAACGCAGCAGAAAAUAGAAGCAGAGCGUUUAAGAGGUGAAAGAAAUGUGUGAAAACUGUAGAAGGAAAAAUAAAUUGUGUAGCUGAGAACCGACAUUUUACAAGGGAAGGAAGGAGGGAAGGAGAAGGAUGGACGUGAAUGCAUAAGAAAACGUGAAUAUAAGAGACAAUCGUUACAGAAAAGAAGUCGGUAAUCUCAGACGCAUUCAACCAGCGUUUCCAAAUUAUCGUACUCAGCAUUUAGCCUUUUCGUAGUUUCUGACCGAUAACUGUAGCGCAAAUGAACGAAAACCACCAAUAUUUAACAGUUUUAACGAUAACUUUAAUUUUCUAGCGCUAUGUGUGUGGUUACGAUCGUCUUGGAGCCUAAAAAUGAUAAAUGAGAUUGUCAGAGUACGACGAUUUGGCAACGCUGCUUUCAACUCUAACACCAUAUAUUUCCCAACGCCGGAAAGGAGAUCAGUCGGGCUCUAAUGAUUUUUUUUAGGCUCAUGGUACAAAAAGAGGGUCAAACUAUCAUCAGGGCCAUAAACUACACAUGGAAAUACCCAGAAAUUUACGUCUCUCAUAUACCAACUAUUUCCACAGGUUAAAACGGAGAUCAGUCGGGGUCUUUUAAGCUUCAUGAUACAGAAAAAAAGGUCAUAUUAACAUCAGGACCAUAAAACUACACAUGGAAAUACCCAGAAAUUUACGCCUCUCAUACCAAAUAUUUCCACAGGCCAAAAAGGAGAUCAGUCGGGGUCUUUUAAGAUUCAUGAUACAGAAAAAGGGUCAAACUACCAUCAGGGCCAUAAAACUACACAUGGAAAUACCCAGAAAUUUACGUCUCUCUUAUACCAACUAUUUCCACAGGCUAAAACGGCGAUCAGUCGGGGUCUUUUAAGCUUCAUGAUACAGAAAAAGGGUCAAACUACCAUCAGGGCCAUAAAACUACACAUGGAAAUACCCAGAAAUUUACGUCUCUCUUAUACCAACUAUUUCCAAAGGCGAAGAAGGAGAUCAGUCGGGGUCUUUUAAGGUUCAUGAUACAGAAAAAAAGGGUCAAACUACCAUCAGGGCCAUAAAACUACCCAUGGAAAUACCCAGAAAUUUACGCGUCUCAUAAACCAACUAUUUCCACAGGCUAAAACGGAGAUCAGUCGGGGUCUUUUAAGAUUCAUGAUACAGAAAAAAAGGGUCAAACUACCAUCAGGGCCAUAAAACUACCCAUGGAAAUACCCAGAAAUUUACGUCUCUCUUAUACCAACUAUUUUCAAAGGCGAAGGAGAUCAGUCGGGGUCUUUUAAGCUUCAUGAUACAGAAAAAAAGGGUCAAACUACCAUCAGGGCCAUAAAAAUACACAUGGAAAUACUCAGAACUUUACGCCUCUCAUAUACCAAAUAUUUCCACAGGCCAAAACGGAGAUCAGUCGGGGUCUUUUAAGGUUCAUGAUACAGAAAAAAAGGGUCAAACUACCAUCAGGGCCAUAAAACUACCCAUGGAAAUACCCAGAAUUUUACGUCUCUCUUAUACCAACUAUUUCCAAAGGCGAAGAAGAUCAGUCGGGGUCUUUUAAGGUUCAUGAUGCAAAAAAAGUCAUAUUAACAUCAGGACCAUAAAACUACACAUGGAAAUAAUACCCUAAAAUCUUACGAAAGCCUUGUCAAAUGGGUGAGCUUAGGCGCCGAAAUGUUCAAGAGUAACCCGCAGUACAAGUCAUCCCCCCCGUCGCCAUGGCCUCCCAGUUCGUUUGUUCCAGCGCCCCGCAAAUUACGAGGGGAGAAAGUUAACUCUUGCCGGGGGAACUGAACACGAAGGGCGGACGUUUAGAAUAGUGAUGCAGAAUUAGUUAGUUAGAGGAGUUUAUAGAAUAGCACGUCAUUCCCUUACCACCACCUCCAGCUCGUUAGUUCCCAUUCCCUGAUAAACGUAACGCGGGAAAACAGGCCAACGGAAGAAUGUUAAGUAUAGGGGAACUAAAUACAAGGGCUGUUUAUAAGUAUUGAUGGGGAGAGUACCACAAGUCAUUCCCCUUAUCACCACCUCCAGCUCGAUAGUUCCCAUUCCCUGAUAAACUACCGAGGGGAAAGAUUCGCUAGGGAAGAAUGUUGAGUGUAGGAAGAAGUAGGGUGAACUAAAUACAAGGGCUGUUUAUAAGUAUUGAUGGGGAGAGUACCACAAAUCAUCCCUUUCGCCAUCUCGCCUGUUGCUCUUUAGUUCCCAUUCCCUGCUAAACUACCGAGGGGAAAGAUUCACUAGGGAAGAAUGUUGAGUGUAGGAAGAAGUAGGGUGAACUAAAUACAAGGGCUGUUUAUAAGUAUUGAUGGGGAGAGUACCACGAGUCAUCACCUUCGCCAUGCCUUCCAGCUCGUUAGUUCCCAUUCCCUGCUACUCUACCAAUGGGAAAGAUUCACUAGGGAAGAAUGUUGAGUGUGGGGAGAACUAGAGGAACCUAAACACAAGGGCCGUAAGUGUAGGAGUAUUGAUGGGGAAAAUACCACGAGUCAUCCCCUACUCCAAUACCUACCAGCUCGUUAGUUCCCAUUCCCUGCUACUCUACCAAUGGGAAAGAUUCACUAGGCAAGAAUGUUGAGUAUGGGGAGAACUAGAGGGACCUAAACACAAGGGCCGUAAGUGUAGGAGUAUUGAUGGAGAGAAUGCUACAAGUCAUCCCCUACUCCAAUACCUACCAGCUCGUUAGUUCCCAUUCACUGCUACUCUACCAAUGGGAAAGAUUCACUAGGCA